UACGUAGGGGGCUAGCGUUGUCCGGAAUCACUGGGCGUAAAGGGCGCGUAGGCGGCUUGAUAAGCGUGCGGUGAAAGCCCGGGGCUCAACCCCGGGUCGGCCGUGCGAACUGUCGAGCUGGAGCACUGUAGAGGCAGGUGGAAUUCCGGGUGUAGCGGUGGAAUGCGUAGAGAUCCGGAAGAACACCGGUGGCGAAGGCGGCCUGCUGGGCAGUGGCUGACGCUGAGGCGCGAAAGCAUGGGGAGCGAACAGG
rnacentral:rRNA from 1 species